UUGAAGGUUGGGUAACACUAACUGGAGGACCGAACCGACUAAUGUUGAAAAAUUAGCGGAUGACCUGUGGCUGGGGGUGAAAGGCCAAUCAAACCGGGAGAUAGCUGGUUCUCCCCGAAAGCUAUUUAGGUAGCGCCUCGUGAAUUCAUCUCCGGGGGUAGAGCACUGUUUCGGCUAGGGGGCCAUCCCGGCUUACCAACCCGAUGCAAACUGCGAAUACCGGAGAAUGUUAUCACGGGAGACACACGGCGGGUGCUAACGUCCGUCGUGAAGAGGGAAACAACCCAGACCGCCAGCUAAGGUCCCAAAGUCAUGGUUAAGUGGGAAACGAUGUGGGAAGGCCCAGACAGCCAGGAUGUUGGCUUAGAAGCAGCCAUCAUUUAAAGAAAGCGUAAUAGCUCACUGGUCGAGUCGGCCUGCGCGGAAGAUGUAACGGGGCUAAACCAUGCACCGAAGCUGCGGCAGCGACGCUGAUGCGUUGUUGGGUAGGGGAGCGUUCUGUAAGCCUGCGAAGGUGGCCUGUGAGGGUUGCUGGAGGUAUCAGAAGUGCGAAUGCUGACAUAAGUAACGAUAAAGCGGGUGAAAAGCCCGCUCGCCGGAAGACCAAGGGUUCCUGUCCAACGUUAAUCGGGGCAGGGUGAGUCGACCCCUAAGGCGAGGCCGAAAGGCGUAGUCGAUGGGAAACGGGUUAAUAUUCCCGUACUUGGUGUUACUGCGAAGGGGGGACGGAGAAGGCUAUGUUGGCCGGGCGACGGUUGUCCCGGUUUAAGCGUGUAGGUGUGUGUUCCAGGUAAAUCCGGUUCACUUUAACACUGAGGCGUGACGACGAGGCACUACGGUGCUGAAGCAACAAAUGCCCUGCUUCCAGGAAAAGCCUCUAAGCAUCAGGUAACAUCAAAUCGUACCCCAAACCGACACAGGUGGUCAGGUAGAGAAUACCAAGGCGCUUGAGAGAACUCGGGUGAAGGAACUAGGCAAAAUGGUGCCGUAACUUCGGGAGAAGGCACGCUGACACGUAGGUGAAGUGAUUUACUCAUGGAGCUGAAGUCAGUCGAAGAUACCAGCUGGCUGCAACUGUUUAUUAAAAACACAGCACUGUGCAAACACGAAAGUGGACGUAUACGGUGUGACGCCUGCCCGGUGCCGGAAGGUUAAUUGAUGGGGUCAGCGCAAGCGAAGCUCCUGAUCGAAGCCCCGGUAAACGGCGGCCGUAACUAUAACGGUCCUAAGGUAGCGAAAUUCCUUGUCGGGUAAGUUCCGACCUGCACGAAUGGCGUAAUGAUGGCCAGGCUGUCUCCACCCGAGACUCAGUGAAAUUGAACUCGCUGUGAAGAUGCAGUGUACCCGCGGCAAGACGGAAAGACCCCGUGAACCUUUACUAUAGCUUGACACUGAACAUUGAGCCUUGAUGUGUAGGAUAGGUGGGAGGCUUUGAAGUGUGGACGCCAGUCUGCAUGGAGCCGACCUUGAAAUACCACCCUUUAAUGUUUGAUGUUCUAACGUGGACCCGUGAUCCGGGUUGCGGACAGUGUCUGGUGGGUAGUUUGACUGGGGCGGUCUCCUCCUAAAGAGUAACGGAGGAGCACGAAGGUUGGCUAAUCCUGGUCGGACAUCAGGAGGUUAGUGCAAUGGCAUAAGCCAGCUUGACUGCGAGCGUGACGGCGCGAGCAGGUGCGAAAGCAGGUCAUAGUGAUCCGGUGGUUCUGAAUGGAAGGGCCAUCGCUCAACGGAUAAAAGGUACUCCGGGGAUAACAGGCUGAUACCGCCCAAGAGUUCAUAUCGACGGCGGUGUUUGGCACCUCGAUGUCGGCUCAUCACAUCCUGGGGCUGAAGUAGGUCCCAAGGGUAUGGCUGUUCGCCAUUUAAAGUGGUACGCGAGCUGGGUUUAGAACGUCGUGAGACAGUUCGGUCCCUAUCUGCCGUGGGCGCUGGAGAACUGAGGGGGGCUGCUCCUAGUACGAGAGGACCGGAGUGGACGCAUCACUGGUGUUCGGGUUGUCAUGCCAAUGGCACUGCCCGGUAGCUAAAUGCGGAAGAGAUAAGUGCUGAAAGCAUCUAAGCACGAAACUUGCCCCGAG
rnacentral:rRNA from 1 species